AUGCUCUCAGCUUUUUGCUCAGUGCUUGUAGUGGUUCUGCUACUAAUUACCAGGACCCAUGGAGACUCAGUGAUCCAGACAGAAGGCCAGGUUUCUCUCCUGGAGGGAGCGCCUCUGACCCUGAACUGCACUUACCAGACCAGUUAUUCAGCUUUCCUUUUCUGGUACGUCCAGUAUCAAAACGAAGCACCCAAGCUCCUCCUGAAAAGCUCAUCUGGAAACCAGGAGAUAGACAACAGAGGUUUUCAGGCUGACCAUGUUAAGGGUGACAGUUCUUUCCACCUGAAGAAGCCCUCAGUUCAAGUGUCAGACUCGGCUGUGUACUACUGUGCUUUGGGAGACACAAUGAGAGGGACUGUAGGGGGAGCUGAGCGCAAACCCUGA